GGGGGUAGCUUAAUUGGUUAGGACAUCUCGUUUACACCGAGAGGGUCCGCGGUUCGAAUCCGUGACCGCCCACCA
rnacentral:tRNA from 1 species